rnacentral:rRNA from 1 species
UACGUAGGGACCAAGCGUUGUUCGGAUUUACUGGGCGUAAAGGGCGCGUAGGCGGCUUGUCAAGUCACUUGUGAAAUCUCUGGGCUUAACCCAGAACGGCCAAGUGAAACUGACAUGCUAGAGUGCAGAAGGGGCAAUCGGAAUUCUUGGUGUAGCGGUGAAAUGCGUAGAUAUCAAGAGGAACACCUGAGGCGAAGACGGGUUGCUGGGCUGACACUGACGCUGAAGCGCGAAAGCUAGGGUAGCAAACGGG